rnacentral:rRNA from 1 species
AUUGAACGCUGGCGGCAUGCCUAACACAUGCAAGUCGAACGAGUGGCGGACGGGUGCGUAAUGUCUGGGAAACUGCCUGAUGGAGGGGGAUAACUACUGGAAACGGUAGCUAAUACCGCAUACCAUCAGAUGUGCCCAGAUGGGAUUAGCUUGUUGGUGGGGUAACGGCUCACCAGGGCGACGAUCCCUAUCGGGUCUGAGAGGAUGACCAGCAACAAUGGAACUGAGACACGGUCCAGACUCCUACGGGAGGAAGCAGUGGGAAAUAUUGGAAAAGGGGCGAAAGCCUGAUGCAGCCAUGCCGCGUGUAGGAAGAAGGCCUUCGGGUGGUAAAGUACUUUCAGCGGGGAGGCGUUACCCGCAGAAGAAGCACCGGCUAACUACGUGCCAGCAGCCGCGGUAAUAC